CAACAUUCCCGUCACACCGGUGUGACGGUACUCCUUUAAGGGUUAAAAUUGGUUGAUUUCAUUGGAAGAGUAAAAGACAUGCUGACUAAUCCAUGUGCCAUCUGACGUGAUGGAACUGGGUCUCAUGAUGGCACAUCAUCACCCCAUAUCACCGCAGUGAUAUAUAUCUGAAACAUUUAUCCAUGCCCUCAUCACCUCCAGGAUGGACUACGGCAACAGCAUUAUCUACGGACUACCUAACAAAACUUCAAUAUGUCCAGAACUCAGCCGCCCACCUUCUCACCUCCACCCAUAGUCGGGGACUACAUCACCCCUGUCCUCCACAACCUCCCAGUCAA